ncrna:unclassified sequences RT-18 RNA
CGGCCCUUGCCGGCGAUGUGCCGAAGGGACACGGUUUAGUACACGCCGGAAGGCGCGAUGGAAACACCGUGAGGCAACAAGGAG